rnacentral:rRNA from 1 species
GACGAACGCUGGCGGCGUGCCUAAUGCAUGCAAGUCGCACGGGUCUCCUUCGGGAGGUCAGUGGCGAACGGCUGAGGAACACGUGGGGGCCUAUCCUUCAGUGGGGGACAACACCGCGAAAGCGGUGCUAAUCCCGCAUACGCUCUGCGGAGGAAAGCGUGGCAACACGCGCUGAAGACUGGCCCUGCGGCCCAUCAGGUAGUUGGCGGGGUAACGGCCCACCAAGCCCGUGACGGGUCGCUGGUCUGUGAGGACGACCAGCCAGACUGGGACUGAGAUACGGCCCAGACUCCUACGGGAGGCAGCAGCAAGGAAUUUUCGGCAAUGGGCGCAAGCCUGACCGAGCAACGCCGCGUGCGGGAUGACGGCCUUCGGGUUGUAAACCGCUUUUGGGGGGGAAGAAACAGACGGUACCCCCCGAAUCAGCCCCGGCUAACUCUGUG